UACGUAGGGGGCGAGCGUUGUUCGGAAUUAUUGGGCGUAAGCGCACGUAGGCGGCCUUGUAAGUCUCACUGUGAAAGUCCGGGGCUCAACCCCGGGAUGCCAGGGGAUACUGCGAGGCUGGAGACAAGCAGAGGUUGGUAGAAUUCCGGGUGUAGCGGUGGAAUGCGUAGAGAUCCGGAGGAAUACCAGAGGCGAAGGCGGCCAACUGGGCUUGUUCUGACGCUGAGGUGCGAAAGCGUGGGGAGCGAACAGG
rnacentral:rRNA from 1 species